UUCUAAGACACAGAAAAACAGACUGCAGUCUGUUUUCUGUGCUGUUUCACUGAAAAUUAAUUACAAUGCAGAACGCACAUGCAGCCCUUGAAGGAGAGACUAGAACUAAGGCAUGCAGAACUCCCACAUUCUCAGGCAUAUUUCCAUAUGAACCCACCAAUUUGUGUGAUGAAGUAUGGAAGUACACAGUUCUAGAAGUAAAAAUGGUGGCACAAAUCUAUUUUUGUGAUUCAGAAGGUCCAAACAGUUCCAAAGGGCAAUUCAGUGUCACUAUGUAUUUGGGAGUAGUUGAAAAGAGAUAACCAGUAGGCGACACUGAGUAAAUGGGCCUGUUUAAAGCAGGUUCUUCAGAGAAAACUGUGGCUUAGGUGUGUCUGUCCAUACAGGUUUCACAAUACCACAUCCUCUUUUCAGAUCAGACACUCGGCAAGAAGGAAGCUGUCGUCUGCAUACUAGCCUCAGAAAUGCUAAAGCUGGAAUUUCAGACUUCACCGGGAUGACUUCAAUAUAAUUGAAUCCUUCUCCUGUAAUGCAUGAAACAGUCCAACAGAGCCUAUACUCCAGCAGUAAGAGCAGCAUGGCUGUAAUGCCAGUGUAACUCUGGUUCUGACAGUCACUUCUGAGUACUCUGGAUGAAAGCGGUUGCCAGACCCUGGAACCAUAUGAAAACACAAGCCAGAAGCUGCAGGCAAUGGGAGGAACUCCAGGAGAAUCCCCCAUCGCUGAGGUGAGUGCCAGUUUGCUAUCAACCCUCAGCCCCAGAUUUCCCACAUCAGACUUUUGCUAAUAUGCAGAUUUUUCACAACCUUGGUCUGUGCAUUACAAAUCACAGCAAAAGCAUUUCAGCUUCACAGAUGGUAGGUUUGGUCUUAGGCUGAGAGUACUACAAGUUGUCUUGGAAAUUUUAAAUCUGGGCUUGCUUUCAAGGGAAUCUGAAGUGUUUGUUCCAACAAACACAUCAAUUUUAUUAACUAGCCACACCUCCAAUAUUAAAACUCAACCCCAGUCUUUAUUCUGUGACAGAACGUGCCACUGUUGACAUUCUGAUUAAAUCCAAACAUCCUAGAGAUGUAAAAUGCAAACCAUAAGAAUACAGAGCUGUAGUAAUAAAUCUGUAGAGAGGUGAGGAAUUCAAAGCCACAAAUACAACUUUUCUGAUUACAUAUUGCAAUAAAACUAUAUUUUCUAGAGAGAUUAUAUGCUUGCAGCUAUUUGUGACGUUACCAGUAGCACUGUAAUCUUUAAUUCAUAUUUACAAACCUGAUAUCCUCAUUCUCGGUGAUUCAGUAAAUUGCAAAAGUGUUGGUUUUGUUUUUUAAAAAGCUGUCUCAAUAAACCCUAAGAUAUAUUUUAAUUCUUUGAAGGUAAAUUGAAUAAUUCUCCAGUGAAAAUUUACUGCUUUGACAUGGAGAGGAAUGAGAAACAGAAGCUUCUCGUUGAAACUUUAUGUUAGAAAGCUGGACCUGCCUGAACUUAAAUAAUUACAUUACCUUUCUUGCUCUUGCUGUCUUACCAAGGAAAAUAGUUUCAAG